rnacentral:misc_RNA from 1 species
AUGCUGUCACGACCCACACCUG